UCGAGAAGAGAGACCAGGAGAAACUUUCCCCUCAAAACCCUAACAUCAUAAAAUCCAUCAAAUUAAGAGGGGAAUUGAAGGUUAAUCGAAUGCAUGAACUAGGAAUGUUGAUCACCUAAGUAUCUCCAACAUCAAGCACGAAGAAAGAAGAAGGCACGAGUCAUUUGAAGUCACAAGCA